rnacentral:rRNA from 1 species
UACAGAGGCCCCAAGCGUUACUGAGAAUCACUGGGUUUAAAGGGUGCGUAGGUGGUCCGUUAAGUUCGUUGUGAAAGCCCUGGGCUCAACCCAGGAACUGCUUCGAAUACUGGCGGACUUGAGGCUAGUAGAGGUCACUGGAACUGACGGUGGAGCGGUGAAAUGCGUAGAUAUCGUCAGGAACGCCAAUGGUGAAGACAGGUGACUGGGCUAGAUCUGACACUGAGGUGCGAAAGCGUGGGGAGCAAACAGG